UGUUGGACUUUGUAUACACACUACAGAAUAAUAUCGUCAAUCUCUUCCAAAUAUACUCCCUAAGCAUUGAGUAUUUUUAUCGUGGAAAGGUAAAUAUCGUAUAUCGUAUUGGCAAGCCCCGCCAGUUGGUAGUAUUAAAAUUAAUGUGGCCACAUCUUAUGAUUAUGAGCCUUCAGAAGCAGGUUAUGGAGUGAUUGCCCGCAAUUCACAAGGUCUUUUGUUGGAUGGAUGCUUGGCCUCCUUCAUUUGCUCCUCCACUUUAAGCACAAGGUCUGUUUAUGAAAGCAGCUGUUCUUUUUGCUAUUUCCAGAGGUUUUUUCUCAAUGUUGUAUUGAAUCAGAUUCACUAAUUCACUACAAAUUUGUAAUAUUUGAUUGAAUCCUGCAGUUCCAAUUCCAUGGGAAUUGCAGGCUAUCAUUCAUAAUGUUUCUGCUUUCCUGUUAGCAGACCAGGGCCUCAAGAUUUCUUUUCCUAGCUGAAACAGCA
rnacentral:misc_RNA from 1 species